CAGUCGCCGCGGUAAUACGAAGGGUGCAAGCGUUACUCGGAAUUACUGGGCGUAAAGCGUGCGUAGGUGGUGGUUUAAGUCCGUUGUGAAAGCCCUGGGCUCAACCUGGGAAUUGCAGUGGAUACUGGGUCACUAGAGUGUGGUAGAGGAUAGUGGAAUUUCCGGUGUAGCAGUGAAAUGCGUAGAGAUCGGAAGGAACAUCUGUGGCGAAGGCGACUAUCUGGGCCAACACUGACACUGAGGCACGAAAGCGUGGGGAGCAAACAGGAUUAGAUACCCCCGUAGUCACUGUCUCUUAUAA
rnacentral:rRNA from 1 species